GGUUAAGCGACUAAGCGUACACGGUGGAUGCCCUGGCAGUCAGAGGCGAUGAAGGACGUGCUAAUCUGCGAUAAGCGUCGGUAAGGUGAUAUGAACCGUUAUAACCGGCGAUUUCCGAAUGGGGAAACCCAGUGUGAUUCGUCACACUAUCAUUAACUGAAUCCAUAGGUUAAUGAGGCGAACCGGGGGAACUGAAACAUCUAAGUACCCCGAGGAAAAGAAAUCAACCGAGAUUCCCCCAGUAGCGGCGAGCGAACGGGGAGCAGCCCAGAGCCUGAAUCAGUGUGUGUGUUAGUGGAAGCGUCUGGAAAGGCGCGCGAUACAGGGUGACAGUCCCGUACACAAAAAUGCACAUACUGUGAGCUCGAUGAGUAGGGCGGGACACGUGGUAUCCUGUCUGAAUAUGGGGGGACCAUCCUCCAAGGCUAAAUACUCCUGACUGACCGAUAGUGAACCAGUACCGUGAGGGAAAGGCGAAAAGAACCCCGGCGAGGGGAGUGAAAAAGAACCUGAAACCGUGUACGUACAAGCAGUGGGAGCACGCUUAGGCGUGUGACUGCGUACCUUUUGUAUAAUGGGUCAGCGACUUAUAUUCUGUAGCAAGGUUAACCGAAUAGGGGAGCCGAAGGGAAACCGAGUCUUAACUGGGCGUUAAGUUGCAGGGUAUAGACCCGAAACCCGGUGAUCUAGCCAUGGGCAGGUUGAAGGUUGGGUAACACUAACUGGAGGACCGAACCGACUAAUGUUGAAAAAUUAGCGGAUGACUUGUGGCUGGGGGUGAAAGGCCAAUCAAACCGGGAGAUAGCUGGUUCUCCCCGAAAGCUAUUUAGGUAGCGCCUCGUGAAUUCAUCUGGGGGUAGAGCACUGUUUCGGCAAGGGGGUCAUCCCGACUUACCAACCCGAUGCAAACUGCGAAUACCGGAGAAUGUUAUCACGGGAGACACACGGCGGGUGCUAACGUCCGUCGUGAAGAGGGAAACAACCCAGACCGCCAGCUAAGGUCCCAAAGUCAUGGUUAAGUGGGAAACGAUGUGGGAAGGCCCAGACAGCCAGGAUGUUGGCUUAGAAGCAGCCAUCAUUUAAAGAAAGCGUAAUAGCUCACUGGUCGAGUCGGCCUGCGCGGAAGAUGUAACGGGGCUAAACCAUGCACCGAAGCUGCGGCAGCGACGCUGAUGCGUUGUUGGGUAGGGGAGCGUUCUGUAAGCCUGCGAAGGUGUGCUGUGAGGCAUGCUGGAGGUAUCAGAAGUGCGAAUGCUGACAUAAGUAACGAUAAAGCGGGUGAAAAGCCCGCUCGCCGGAAGACCAAGGGUUCCUGUCCAACGUUAAUCGGGGCAGGGUGAGUCGACCCCUAAGGCGAGGCCGAAAGGCGUAGUCGAUGGGAAACAGGUUAAUAUUCCUGUACUUGGUGUUACUGCGAAGGGGGGACGGAGAAGGCUAUGUUGGCCGGGCGACGGUUGUCCCGGUUUAAGCGUGUAGGCUGGUUUUCCAGGCAAAUCCGGAAAAUCAAGGCUGAGGCGUGAUGACGAGGCACUACGGUGCUGAAGCAACAAAUGCCCUGCUUCCAGGAAAAGCCUCUAAGCAUCAGGUAACAUCAAAUCGUACCCCAAACCGACACAGGUGGUCAGGUAGAGAAUACCAAGGCGCUUGAGAGAACUCGGGUGAAGGAACUAGGCAAAAUGGUGCCGUAACUUCGGGAGAAGGCACGCUGAUAUGUAGGUGAAGUCCCUCGCGGAUGGAGCUGAAAUCAGUCGAAGAUACCAGCUGGCUGCAACUGUUUAUUAAAAACACAGCACUGUGCAAACACGAAAGUGGACGUAUACGGUGUGACGCCUGCCCGGUGCCGGAAGGUUAAUUGAUGGGGUUAGCGCAAGCGAAGCUCUUGAUCGAAGCCCCGGUAAACGGCGGCCGUAACUAUAACGGUCCUAAGGUAGCGAAAUUCCUUGUCGGGUAAGUUCCGACCUGCACGAAUGGCGUAAUGAUGGCCAGGCUGUCUCCACCCGAGACUCAGUGAAAUUGAACUCGCUGUGAAGAUGCAGUGUACCCGCGGCAAGACGGAAAGACCCCGUGAACCUUUACUAUAGCUUGACACUGAACAUUGAGCCUUGAUGUGUAGGAUAGGUGGGAGGCUUUGAAGUGUGGACGCCAGUCUGCAUGGAGCCGACCUUGAAAUACCACCCUUUAAUGUUUGAUGUUCUAACGUUGACCCGUAAUCCGGGUUGCGGACAGUGUCUGGUGGGUAGUUUGACUGGGGCGGUCUCCUCCUAAAGAGUAACGGAGGAGCACGAAGGUUGGCUAAUCCUGGUCGGACAUCAGGAGGUUAGUGCAAUGGCAUAAGCCAGCUUGACUGCGAGCGUGACGGCGCGAGCAGGUGCGAAAGCAGGUCAUAGUGAUCCGGUGGUUCUGAAUGGAAGGGCCAUCGCUCAACGGAUAAAAGGUACUCCGGGGAUAACAGGCUGAUACCGCCCAAGAGUUCAUAUCGACGGCGGUGUUUGGCACCUCGAUGUCGGCUCAUCACAUCCUGGGGCUGAAGUAGGUCCCAAGGGUAUGGCUGUUCGCCAUUUAAAGUGGUACGCGAGCUGGGUUUAGAACGUCGUGAGACAGUUCGGUCCCUAUCUGCCGUGGGCGCUGGAGAACUGAGGGGGGCUGCUCCUAGUACGAGAGGACCGGAGUGGACGCAUCACUGGUGUUCGGGUUGUCAUGCCAAUGGCACUGCCCGGUAGCUAAAUGCGGAAGAGAUAAGUGCUGAAAGCAUCUAAGCACGAAACUUGCCCCGAGAUGAGUUCUCCCUGACUCCUUGAGAGUCCUGAAGGAACGUUGAAGACGACGACGUUGAUAGGCCGGGUGUGUAAGCGCAGCGAUGCGUUGAGCUAACCGGUACUAAUGAACCGUGAGGCUUAACCUU
rnacentral:rRNA from 1 species